rnacentral:snoRNA from 1 species
GGGUUUGUGAUGACUGCAUACGGAUCACUGGGCUCUGAAUAUUCAUGAAACGAUAAUAUCCGUUCUGAUACCC